rnacentral:lncRNA from 1 species
UUCAGAAUAAGGAACAGCGGAGCUUCCCCCUAAGACCCUGGUGUGUUUCUGCAUCAGGAAACCUUCUCUCCUGCAAUGUGUCGUUUAAGAUUGAACAACAUGGUGCCUUUGCCAGAAGUUAACAGGAAACCCAAAAGGAGAUGAGCCAGACUGGUUAGUUCAGAAGAGAAUCGUUGGGGAAGACAAUGGGAGCUGCUGUUUGAAUGUGGCCCUGAGAUUAUUUGUGCUUUUCAAUCCCAUGUUACCAAAACACAUUUCAAGCUGGCCUAUAAAUCACAC